rnacentral:rRNA from 1 species
AUUGAACGCUGGCGGCAGGCCUAACACAUGAAAGUCGAACGAGUGGCGGACGGGUGAGUAAUGUCUGGGAAACUGACUGAUGGAGGGGGAUAACUACUGGAAACGGUAGCUAAUACCGCAUACCAUCGGAUGUACCCAGAUGGGAUUAGCUCGUAGGUGGGGUAAAGGCUCACCUAGGCGACGAUCCCUAGCUGCUCUGAGAGGAGGACUACACACACUGGAACUGAGACACGGUCCAGACUCCGACGUGAGGCAGCAGUGGCGAAUAUUGCACAAUGGCCGCCAGCCUGAUGCCGCCAUGCCGCGGGUAUGAAGAAGUCCUUCGGGUUGUCAAGUACUUUCCGCGCGGAGGCGUUACCCGCAGAAGAAGCACCGGCUAACUCCGUGCCAGCAGCCGCGGUAAUAC